rnacentral:tRNA from 1 species
GGUCUUGUAUUCAUUUUGUGAUUAUAGAAUGCAAUUCUGUAGGGGUAGGGUUAAAUCUAUCAAGGCCU